GUAUACAAUAAUACAUUUCUUUCGACAAAUUUUUCGAAUCGAUCAUUUUUUUUUUUUUUUUAAUUAUCGUACAACGCAAGAAUAUAUUCCUUGCUAUAAAAAGAAAAUUAUUCUUAAAAUUCUCUUUCAUGUUUUUAUCAUUGAAGAUAGUUCACGUCAGAAGAUAGUUAGAAUAGUAUAGCAACAGAGUGAACAGAGUUAUUCUCGAAAUUUCAUUUAAACGAAUAUUUCGAUGAAAAGAUCGAUUUUAUCUCAUCCAACAUCAAAUUUUUAAUCGAUUCAAAGUUAGUUUGAUGUGACAAACAUGAAUAUACUGGAUUAUUUACGUCACUUACUUAAGGAUUUCAGUUAUCUGCUGAAAAUACACAAGCUGGUAAAAUAAUAAUCUUCCAUUCAAGUAAUCACUCAUUAAUUUUCAAAAUCCAUUGAUCCAAAAAUUAAUAUCUACCCAUAUUUUAGAUCAUAGCUGGGGUAUGCAUAUACGAAUUGUUGAAGCACAAAGAAUAUAUGAUACCAAGAUGGCUGUGGGUCAUUUAUUGCAUCGACUCUUGCACAUAUUCUAUCGUCUAUAUUUCCAUAGGGUUCACUCAAAUGUUCGAGAAGUCUCGUAAAUUGCCAAAAUAAAAUCAUUUCAGGUUAUACGAGUGAUACUUUGAAGUAAUUACACUGAAAUCAAGCGUGUGUACAUAUUUAAUUUUCAAACUUAUACUUUACACACGAAUCAAAUUCUAUGGUUUUUUUAAUUUUUAUAUAAUUCUUAAAAUUAUUUUCUCAAAUUUGACUCAAAGGAACACAGAUAUUUGAAGUAUCAUUUGAGCAAAUGUAUAACAAAUAUUCUCGUUUAUAGGAAUUGAUAUAUUUCACUAUUGGAGUUGUUUUCCACUUAAUAGGUGGAAUAAGUGGUAUUAUGAGGGCAAGUUAUAUAGAAGAUAUAGAUGAAGUUGACCCAACGAGAAGCGAAUUCAAAAUUGGCAUAUUAUUAUUAGUUCUGUUGCAUAGCGGGUACCGCGAUAUACAUGCGUCCAUUGGAACCGUAUCUCGACGCUCCGAUAUUUGGUAUUUUGGUACCGACUUUUAUAACGGGCUACAUCAUCAUCCACUCGAUCGAAAUUUUCACCUUGAUCAUGAAUAAGGAGUAUGUCUUUCUCGUGAGUAAGUGGAAAGUGAAAUGUAAAAAAAAACGGAUCGAGUAAAAAGUUUCUCUAUAAGAAAAAAAAAAAAAAAAAAAAAAAUGCACGAUUAUAAACAGGAAAUAUGUUUCGUUGUAAUUGGAGGGAUGGGAUGUAUAAUAUGUGGCACGUAUCAGCUUCUCAAGUGGGUCAACUGGAUAAUUGGUGUUCUUCAUGAGGAGCAUAAUGAAGAUUACAACAUAUCGGAAUUCAUAUUGGCCCUGAUCUUCUUGUUCCAAUUCGCCAGCUCCUGCGCUAUAUUGGUUCAUCGUGCUGUAGAAAUGCGCGAAUACAUGGAUCGAACGUUUUCAUAAUGCUUGGAAACAAGGGGGAGGAUGGGAGAGGAGGAGGAGAAGGAAGAAGAGGAAGAAUAUAUAUUCUUUGAAAAUACAUAUCGACGAAAUUUUGUUUCGAAUCGCUUAAAAAAAAAAAAAAAAAAAAAAAGAAAGAAAGAAAAGAAAAGAAAAAAAAAUGAUUUGUAAAUAUAUUUUUAUUUCGAGAAAUAUUGGGAUAUUUGUGAGGAUGUUAGAGAAGAAUAUAAGAGCGAGAACGAGACGUGAUGAUGAAACUCAAAUCAAAUUCUCUGAGGAUGAAAACGCGAAUUCAAGAAUUCGUGAAAUUAUGGGAAUCGGGAGAGAGGGCGAGAAGGCGAGUGAGUCAAUGGACAAGGCGAACACAUCGAAGUAAGAAAGGAUUGGAAAUGAUGGUCAUCAUCAAUUAAUCUACUUGACCCCGUAAUUAUCGUGGAUGAGCGGUACAGCCAUCGGUACACCCACGAUCCGGAUACAUAAUCGCGUUAAUUAGGAAUGCUGCUUGUAAUUCAACUUCACAGGGCGCGACUCGACGUUAAUAAAAAUAAAUUGAAAACGGGGGGAGAGAGAGAGAGAGAGAGAGAGAGAGAGAGAGAGAGAGAAAGGG